UGGUGAUAUUCAAGUGGGACGGAAUAUAACAGACACAGGUUCCAAGACCCUGGAUUGUACUUGUUCCACUUAAAAGUUCCUUUCUUGGGUCCAAACAAGUAUUUUCAUCACCAACCACACGUCUAUAGAACUUCACACAUUCCUUCUUCAGCAACUAACGCACCCUCUUCCUCAGUUUUCAAAAGACCAGAUGCGCACCUGUAACUAAUGCCUCUCUGCCACUUUGAAACCUAGACAGGCCUCUUCAGCUGUUCGAAUUAAUAGUACCUGGACUUAUGAAACUAUUUUGGAUCUAUGUAAUUUAUUUAUUUAUGUGUAAGACCUUUAAAUUAUGCCAUCAAGAUGAGAUGAUUGUCAAUUAUUCUAAAGUGAAAAGUUUGCUCGAAAUAAUAUCUCUAAGUUGUGAAUGUUUUCUGUCACCAAUUUGAAUUCCUUUCAAAAUUGUUAAUUUUAUUCUACAUUACAGUCUGUAUUCUAUUUUUUCUUUAAUCGUUUAACUGUUUUUUUUUUUCUUCAUUACAAUCUGUUUCUAAAAACAAUUAAAUCAUCGGUUUUCUUUAACUUCAUACCGACUUCCUUCAAAAUUUUGCCAGGUUUUCUUCUAGACUAAGUAAAAGUGGU